rnacentral:rRNA from 1 species
UACGUAGGUGGCAAGCGUUGUCCGGAUUUACUGGGCGUAAAGAGCGCGCAGGCGGUCGUUCAAGUCGCGUGUGAAAGCCCCCGGCUCAACUGGGGAGGGUCACGCGAUACUGAUCGACUCGAAGGCAGGAGAGGGAAGUGGAAUUCCCGGUGUAGUGGUGAAAUGCGUAGAUAUCGGGAGGAACGCCCGUGGCGAAAGCGAGAUCCUGGACGCCUACUGACGCUGAGACGCGAAAGCCAGGGGAGCGAACGGG